GUCAGGACACAGCAUGGCCAUAAGGGCUCCUUCUCAGCUCCUGGGGCUCCUGCUGCUCUGCCUCCCAGGUAAGGAGGGACAGCACUGGGAAUUUACUAAUCACAGUGUGGUCAGUGCUUCCUGGCUACUCAGGAAAGUCCUCUUGUAAUAUAACACUCAUAAUAAUAUUUAAUUUUAUGUUUCCAAUGGCAGGUGUCAGAUGUGACAUCACAAUGACCCAGUCUCCAUCCUCCUUGCCUGUGUCUCCUGGAGACAGAGUCACCCUCACCUGCAGGGCAAGUCAGGGCAUUAGCAAUAAUUUACACUGGUAUCAGCAGAAACCAGGACAACCUCCUAAGCUCCUCAUCUGUUAUGCAAACACUUUGCAAUCUGGGGUCCCCUCGAGGUUUAGUGGCAGAGGAUCUGGGACAGAUUUCACUCUCACCAUCAAUAGCCUGGAGCCUGAAGAUGUUGCCACUUAUUACUGUCAACA
rnacentral:lncRNA from 1 species